rnacentral:lncRNA from 1 species
CAGCUCUGCCCAUUACUCAUAAGCACCCAAAAGUCACAUCACUUUGUGAACAAUGUAAAAUCUGUCAAGAAGGCUUAGAAAUCUACGCUGGCACUUCAACCCUUUGUCCACACCAUCAUGCUCACCACCCUGGUGUUCAGCUGGAGCUUCUAACCCAGUACCUGGUUUGUCAUGGAAAUGAUUGAGCAGAUCUCGGGGACUGAACCUCUCACUCAGCUUACAAAGAACUUCUCCUCACCAAGAUGUGGUGACGCUGUUCACACAGCAAUGAGCACAGCAACAAGCAGGUGAGCUGCCAAACCCUCACCUCUGGGCCAGGUGUGCUACCAGGCACAUCUCUGUAUUUCCCAUGAUGAAAUAACAUGAGAAUUUUAACAAGAAAAUCAGAUUUGCUUGUUUCAUUGUGAGAGAAGUUCACCUAGCUGAUAGACAGCUGUAUCUCUUCUAGUGCUGUUGCAGGAAAGCAAUUCCUUGGUUCCUUGGUGUGAUUUCCUGAACUUGCAUAGGACACCAGGUUUCUGGAAAUUUACUGAGAAAAAGUCUCACAGCAUCCUCAGCGACCACAAGCCUCACAAACUGUACCUCCUGUUUGAGUGCCAUUCAGCACAGAACAAAACACCCAGUCCUGCCUCUGUAGCUGCUCUGAGAUCUGCUAUCUCUGAAAAUACUGGUUUCAGGUGUGGGCUGGAAAGUGAGUAAGACUUGCUGAGGCCGCUCUUAAGUUUAUGGCAGCCUUUGCCAUAACAUUAUGGAAUGUUGUAGGACUCCCUACAGGUAGCAAGAAGUUAAAAUCUCCCUAAUGCUACUGGAUUCUUUGUAAAGAAGCAAUUUUUCAAUUAUACGUAAUUAAUAGUAAUUACUCUUUAUCUUCAGAGACCAGAACAAAGAAUAAUUAAUCCAUCUUAACAUCCCUGUUAAGGAGCUAUUAAAUAUGGGGGUUUUAUACAGCAGACUACUUAGUAACUUAUGUGGCCCGCAGUUCAGUCUGUGUUCCCUAAUGCAGAAAGGAAAGAGAAAAGAAUCCUGAACUAUCUGAACUAAUAUUCUAGUUCUUGCCUCAAUUUAAUUAACUAGUUUGGAAACAGCUGUUUCCCUCUUGCAGCAGCAUUUCCUUCUGCAAAUGAAGUGUGCUGCCUACAGAUCUCUCAUUUAGAGAAGCAGUUUUACUACAUCUUAUAAAUAAUAACAUUCAAGU